AAGUACACUAGGGCAAACACAAGUUUCCUUUUCUUUGGGUAGUUUUUUAUUUAUUUAAUUAUUUUUUUCAGUUGUCUCUGCCAUCUUUAACCUGAUUCCCAUUAGUACUAUCCUGACUAGCUCACUGUAAACUGAAAAAAUUAUCAAACUGUCAACCAAAAGUAAACACAUCACCUGUAGGUACAGUAGAGUAAAGCUAAGUUUCCUUUUGUUUGGGUAUUAUUUUUUUUUCUUCUUCAGUUGUCUCUGCCAUCUUUGACCUGACCAUUAGUGCUGUCCUGACUAGCUCACUGUGAGCAGAAAAAAAAUAUCAAACCGUCAACCAGAAGUAAACACAUCACUUUGGACAACUCAAAGACACAGUCUACCUGCUGUUUAACACAGUCUUUGGUCGGAGGUGAAGAAGAGAUGACAUCCUCCACACCAUCCCCCUGCUGCUCUCAACAACCAUCAUCGCUGUGCUGGACAGAGACUGCAGCACCCACCAGGACCCUUCUCUCAUGGACUACACAAACAUGUGUUUUACCUGCUUGUGCUCCAGAUGUCCUGAAGCAGCUCUCAAGGACCACCAGACACCAGGCUGGAGCAGAACUGAUGCUGUAGCACCUGUCACUCACUGGGCUCGUUCCUGCUGAACCUCCAAGAGAUAAACCCCUCUUCAAGAAAGUCUGAGGUAAUGUCUUGGUGAACUUGUGUUCAUUUAUUUAUUCUUAGUUAUCUUAGCUGCUGUAUUAAUGCUUGUGACGCUAUUGUACAGCUCUGCUGAUAUCAUCGUCUUUAACAGCAGUGUUUUCUCCCAGGUCUUCUUCAAGCCAGUUAAGAGAGGAAGAACAGCUUAGACACUCAGACAGCUGAACACACCAAAGGUGGACAUCAUGCAGCCACCCUGAGCCUUGAGCCUCUCUGUGUGACGAAGCUUUGCUGCUGCAGACCUGGUGAAGUUGCUCUGGACAGAAAUAUUUUUUGCUCUGCUGCAGUGCUGAAGGUAUUCAUUGUAAUGAUGUGUGUAUUUAUUCAAUAUGUUUAGUUUCACAGAUUAUCAACACAAAUGUUUCUGUUUAUUUCCUGUUUUGAACCAGCUACAUUCUCCCACUUCAAGUCACUGUCUGUUCAUCCACGGUGUAGCUAGUGCAGCUCAGCAGAGUCCUACUAAUGGUG